GCCUUGGUAGCUCAGUAGGUAGAGCGUCACCUUGGUAAGGUGAAGGUCGCGGGUUCAAUUCCCGCCCAAGGCU
rnacentral:tRNA from 1 species